ACAGUUGCCAGCGUACUCUCUGGAGUGACGGGUACACUGUGGGGACCGCCGCUGCUAAAGCGGAGGAAGGAAUGGGCAACGGUAGGUCAGUAUGCCCCGAAUAUCCCGGGCUACACGCGAGCUACAAUGGUUGGUACAAUGGGUAUCUACCCCGAAAGGGGACGGGAAUCCCCUAAAACCAAUCUUAGUUCGGAUUGAGGGCUGCAACUCGCCCUCAUGAAGCUGGAAUCCGUAGUAAUCGCGUUUCAACAGAACGCGGUGAAUACGUCCCUGCUCCUU
rnacentral:rRNA from 1 species